GCCAUAGCUCAGUGUAAGAGCGCCUGCCUUCCGUGCAAACGGUCCCAAGUUCAAUCCCUGGCAUGUCCA